rnacentral:rRNA from 1 species
CCUACGGUGGGCAGCAGUGGGGAAUAUUGGGCAAUGGGCGCAAGCCUGACCCAGCAACGCCGCGUGAAGGAAGAAGGCCCUCGGGUUGUAAACUUCUUUUAACAGGGACGAAGAAAGUGACGGUACCUGUUGAAUAAGCCACGGCUAACUACGUGCCAGCAGCCGCGGUAAUACGUAGGUGGCAAGCGUUAUCCGGAUUUACUGGGUGUAAAGGGCGUGUAGGCGGGAGAGCAAGUCAGACGUGAAAUUCCAGGGCUCAACCCUGGAACUGCGUUUGAAACUGUUGAUCUUGAGUACUGGAGAGGCAGAUGGAAUUCCUGGUGUAGCGGUGAAAUGCGUAGAUAUUAGGAGGAACACCAGUGGCGAAGGCGGUCUGCUGGACAGCAACUGACGGUGAGGCGCGAAAGCGUGGGGAGCAAACAGGAUUAGAUACCCCUGUAGUC